rnacentral:rRNA from 1 species
UGGCGAACGGGUGAGUAAUAUAUCGGAACGUGCCCAGUCGUGGGGGAUAACGUAGAGAAAUUUACGCUAAUACCGCAUACGAUCUAAGGAUGAAAGCGGGGGAUUCGCAAGAACCUCGCGCGAUUGGAGCGGCUGAUAUCAGAUUAGGUUGUUGGUGAGGUAAAAGCUCACCAAGCCGACGAUCUGUAGCUGGUUUGAGAGAACGACCAGCCACACUGGGACUGAGACACGGCCCAGACUCCUACGGGAGGCAGCAGUGGGGAAUUUUGGACAAUGGGCGAAAGCCUGAUCCAGCAAUGCCGCGUGCAGGAAGAAGGCCUUCGGGUUGUAAACUGCUUUUGUACGGAACGAAACGGUCUGCCUUAAUACGGUGGGCUAAUGACGGUACCGUAAGAAUAAGCACCGGCUAACUACGUGCCAGCAGCCGCGGUAAUACGUAGGGUGCGAGCGUUAAUCGGAAUUACUGGGCGUAAAGCGUGCGCAGGCGGUUAUAUAAGACAGUUGUGAAAUCCCCGGGCUCAACCUGGGAAUUGCAUCUGUGAC